GAAUUUUGGACAAUGGGGGCAACCCUGAUCCAGCCAUCCCGCGUGUGCGGUGAAGGGCUUCGGGCUGUAACGCACUUUUGGCCGGGAAGCAAAGGCUCUGGCUAAUACCUGGAGCUGCUGACGGUACCUGCAGAAUAAGCACCGGCUAACUACGUUCCAGAAGCCGCGGUAAUACGUAGGGUGCAAGCGUUAAUCGGAAUUACUGGGCGUAAAGCGUGCGCAGGCGGUUCGGCAAGAAGGAUGUGAAAUCCCAGGGCUUAACCUUGGAACUGCACUCUUGACUGCCGGGCUAGAGUCUGUCAGAGGGGGGUAGAAUUCCGCGUGUAGCAGUGAUAUGCGUAGAGAUGCCGAGGAAUACCGCUGGCGAAGGCAGCCCCCUGGGAUAAUACUGACGCUCAUGCACGAAUGCGUGGGGAGCAAAC
rnacentral:rRNA from 1 species